GGCUCUGUAGUUCAAUUGGAUAGAACGGUGGUUUCCUAAACCGCUAAUGGCGGUUCGAUUCCGCCCGGAGCUA
rnacentral:tRNA from 1 species